rnacentral:lncRNA from 10 species
AAGAGUAAGAAGCUGGAGCCCGUCCAAUCCACUGGCACCAAAGCCAUGCACUUUGCAACUCUACUUCUCCAGGCUGUUCAUGAGAGGAGGAUGGAUGACAACAGGAUUCCAAAGAAAUUACUUUGUCCUGAGCUCAGAAGAGGACAAGGUAGACCUGAACAAGUGCCCAGCCUUUAAUUUCCCUGAAGAAGACCUUACCCAAGAGAGUUUCCU